GAUCAGCCAUAUCCUGUAGUCUAGGAUGUGCUUUCAGCACGUUGGUACACUGAUAAGCAGGUGCUUUCAUUCCUUCUGCCUCUUGCAACAUGGCGCGCCUAGCACCCAUCAUUGUUUCUCUUUUUGCCAUCGCCGUGGUGUUCUCACAAGAAUCAUCAAAAUUUACAGCAUCAAUGACAGAAUCAACAAAAUCUACAUCAACGACAGAAUCCCCAAAAUCCACAGCAUCAACGACAGAAUCAACAAAAUCCACAGCAUCAACAAUGGAAUCAACAAAAUCCACAGCAUCAAUGACAGAAUCCCCAAAAUCCACAGCAUCAACGACAGAAUCAACAAAAUCCACAGCAUCAACAAUGGAAUCAACAAAAUCCACAGCAUCAAUGACAGAAUCCCCAAAAUCCACAGCAUCAACGACAGAAUCAACAAAAUCCACAGCAUCAACAAUGGAAUCAACAAAAUCCACAGCAUCAAUGACAAAAUCCCCCAAAUCCACAGCAUCAACAAGAGAAUCUGUCAUAUCUUUAACGACCAUGGUAUCAUCAACACCACAGGAAAUUAUUGAGAUAUCUCACACCUCUGGUGUGACUGAGAAGCCCAUCACCAGCGCAAACCACACAGACAACACCACUGCCACCGGUUCAACACUUCCUACAGCCACACAGACCUCCAGUGCCACCCACAGCACCUCAGUGCUGGUUACUAACAGCAGUAGCCUGCCCACCGCCCCCAAAACUCCAGGAGCCAACAUCACACCCUCCAGCACAGUUCAGAAUUUGAAUGGAAGCGAAUCUCUGGCCAAUAACCCAGGCCUGGUGGCUGUGCUGUGUAUUUUUGUCAUCAUACUGAUCCUGCUGCUGGGUGUCGGUGUUGCUAAGGCUAUAAGAUCCAGAGGGCCGAAGUUUGAAAGGUUGGACAAUUUGCCAAUGGGCAAGAUGAAUGAAGAAUCCCCUUUUGCACAUUACCCUCCAAAAUAAGAAAGUUUUCUCAGUCUGCCCAUUAAAAUCUAAUCAAGCACCCAGACUACUGGCAGACCCCAGUGAAGAGACCAGCAAAUAAAUCCUGGUUCCUGACAACUGCUUAACAAGGACAUACCAUGAAACAAACCAGAGGGUCACCACAGCCACCACCACCGUUACAACUACAGCUAUAGGGAUCUUCAAAUGGACCAGUAACAUCAUUAUGGACACGUAAUCUAGACCAUGACACUGACUACAUCCUGGACUUCUCCAACCCUACAACUGUAGGACUUAUUAUUAUAUCAUCCCCAACCCUGCACUGACACCAUUUGCAGGCUCACUCUACCCUGGAAGGGGGUCCCUCUCUGUAUCACUCCUUCCCAAGGUUUCUUCCUUUCUUUUUUUCUCUCUCCUAGAGUUUUUUGUGUGGAGUUUUUCCUUGUGUGCAGAAGGGUCAAGUGUGGGGGGUGUCAACUGUAGGGCC
ensembl:lncRNA